AAUAGAUACCCUGGUAGUCCACGCCGUAAACGAUGUCGACUUGGAGGUUGUUCCCUUGAGGAGUGGCUUCCGGAGCUAACGCGUUAAGUCGACCGCCUGGGGAGUACGGCCGCAAGGUUAAAACUCAAAUGAAUUGACGGGGGCCCGCACAAGCGGUGGAGCAUGUGGUUUAAUUCGAUGCAACGCGAAGAACCUUACCUGGUCUUGACAUCCACAGAAUUUUGCAAAGAUGCGAAAGUGCCUUCGGGAACUGUGAGACAGGUGCUGCAUGGCUGUCGUCAGCUCGUGUUGUGAAAUGUUGGGUUAAGUCCCGCAACGAGCGCAACCCUUAUCCUUUGUUGCCAGCGGUUAGGCCGGGAACUCAAAGGAGACUGCCAGUGAUAAACUGGAGGAAGGUGGGGAUGACGUCAAGUCAUCAUGGCCCUUACGACCAGGGCUACACACGUGCUACAAUGGCAUAUACAAAGAGAAGCGACCUCGCGAGAGCAAGCGGACCUCAUAAAGUAUGUCGUAGUCCGGA
rnacentral:rRNA from 1 species